rnacentral:tRNA from 1 species
GGCUCAAUUGGCAGAGCAGCUGACUUGUAAUCAGCAGGUUAUCGGUUCAAGUCCGAUC